GCAUUGGUGGUUCAGUGGUAGAAUUCUCUCCUGCCAUGCGGGAGACCCGAGUCCGAUUCCUGGCCAAUGCA
rfam:Danio rerio chromosome 4, GRCz11 reference primary assembly.